UCCAGGUUAGCUCAGUUGGUAGAGUGCUCCAUUGAAAAUGGAGAGGACUCUUGUUCGAUACGAGGACCAGGCG
rnacentral:tRNA from 2 species